rnacentral:rRNA from 1 species
ACUGCUCAGUAACACGUAGCUAACCUACCCUUAAGUCAAGGAUAACCUCGGGAAACUGAGGAUAAUACUUGAUAGGAGAUUUACCCUGGAAAGAUUUAUCUCCCAAAUUCGAGCUUAAGGAUGGGGCUGCGGUGGAUUAGGUUGUUGGCGGGGUAAUAGCCCACCAAGCCUAUGAUCCAUAAGGGCUCUUAGCGGAGAAGCCCUGAGAGGGAAUCUGAGACACUAUUCCCAGCCCUACGGGGUGCAGCAGGUAGGAAUCUUUUGCAAUGCGCGCAAGCGUGACAAAGCGAGCCAGAGUGCUUUUCAAUGAAAAGCUUUUGCUAAAUGUAAAAAGUUUGGCGAAUAAGGACUGGGUAAGACGAGUGCCAGCCGCCGCGGUAAUCCUCGCGGUCCAAGUCGCAGCCAUCAUUAUUGGGUCUAAAACAUCCGUAGCUUGCUUAAUAAGUUCCUUGUGAAAUCUUAUCUCUUAAGGGUAAGGCGUGCAGGGAAUACUGUUGAGCUAGAGACUGGAAGACGUAAGAAGUAUGUUCGAAGUAGCGGUAAAAUGUGUUAAUCUCGGACAGACUCACAACAGCGAAGGCAUCUUACGAGGACAGUUCUGACAGUAAAGGAUGAAGGCUAGGGGCGCAAAGUGGAUUAGAUACCCAUGUAGUCCUAGCAGUAAACACUGAGCACUAAACAUUAGUACCUCUUCGAGAGGUAUUAGUGCUGAAGGGAAGCCGAAGAGUGCUCUACCUGGGAAGUAUAGCCGCAAGGGCCGAAAACUUAAAGGAAUUGGCGGGGGAG